ACAAGAAAAGGAGAUUAGGGUACAGAUACACACACAGGGAAGAAUGCAUGAAGUCCCUGGGAUAAGGCAGCCAUUUACAAGCCAAGGGAAAGGCCUCAGAAGAAACCAGUCCUGCCGACAGCAUGAUCUCUCAUCCUCAGAACUGGGAGGAAAUACAUCUGUGUUGUUUCAGCCACUCAGUUGGUGAUCUCUAUUACAGCAGUCCUUAGCAAACCGAUUUAGACAGGGCUUUGGAUGCCAACCAGAAGAAGCUGUAGGAAUUGGCACAGAUCCAGAGCAUGGACAAGGACUUACACUUCUGCUGAAGGCAAAGGAGAAACAGCAUUAUCUAAAAAGCAACCAAGACUUCAGGGGAUGAGAACCCACUAACUAUUACAGUCCACGUGUCAGUCGCGUUUCUCAUCGUGAUUAACACCCCAGCCAUUGAUUUGCUCUUCAGUGUCUAGUGAGCAAGGCUACUGUGAAUCUUUCCUCAGGAGGACUGAUGGAGUCACGUUUCUGAGCCUACAGAGCUGAGGGCAAGACCUGAGUAUGGUGAUGUCAAAAUGCCAACCAGCGAGACCUCUUGGUGGCCAGGUGCUUGCUUGUGCUCCUCCUGUGCUUGGACAUCAGACUCCAGGUUCUUCAGCCUUUGGACUCUGGGACUUGCACCAGCGGCUUCCCAAGGGCUCUCAGGCCUUAAGCCACAGACCGACGACUGUACUGUCAGCUUCCCUGGUUUUGAGGCUUUUGGACUUGGACUGAGCCACUACUGGCAUCUCUCUUUCCCAGCUUGCAGACAGUCUAUCAUGGGACUUUGCCUUGUAAUUGUGCUAGCCAAUUCUUCCUAAUAAACUUCCUUUUAUAUA
rnacentral:lncRNA from 1 species